GUGGCACCGGUGAAGGGAAACAGUGUCUGGACCGGGUUCUGCUUUGCCGCAUGGGACUGGACAGGGCCCUGCCCUGCAGCACUUUGCUGGGACCUCUCGCUCCAGGCUUCAUGGCCCACAGAAGCCUCCAUAGACCACUUCCCCCAAGCCAUGUGCUGCUACUGCUGUGUCCCAUCACUUGACUGUCAUACUGCUGGCCUCACAGCUCCAACCCUAAGCAAACAUGCACUAGCCAUACAAGAAGUCAGUUUGGAUCCAUAUUUUCUGGGACAGAAGUGCUGCUAAGUACCCUCGCAUGCUCUCUGUGUAC